rnacentral:lncRNA from 1 species
CCCCACAGUAUUAAACCCAAUUCUCAUCACACUGUAAUUAAUAAUUAACAAACCCAGCCAGACAUGAACAAUCUUCCAUACAAAAAAAUAGCAGCUAAGAUUCAACCCAUAUCACAUAAACCCAAGUAGAUGAUUUUGUAGACUUGGUUGCCAGUUGAAAUGCUGUGUCUCUCUCCUCUCCAACUUUGCAACAACCAUCAUCAAAAUUGAGGGCAUAACUUGAGGGAUCAUACUGAAACUUGAGGUGCCCAUUAUUACUCUUUGCCAUUGCUUUCUUCAUUGCUGCUCUCAUUCUCCAAAACAAGCUUCUGCAUUUCUUCUUGCUGUACCUAUUCACCCACAACAAUCUGCCAACAAAACCCAUUUCAGAAAUAUUACUCCGGAUAGCAAAAAUCUCAUCAAAGUACCAACUUGAGGAAUACAAAUGGUGGCAAGUUUUUUGGGUAAAUGUGAACAGAAGAGAGAGAGACAGAAGAAGAAAACUUGG